rnacentral:rRNA from 1 species
GACGAACGCUGGCGGCGUGCUUAACACAUGCAAGUCGAACGAGAGGCGAACGGGUGAGUAAUACGUGGGUAACCUGCCCUCUUUUUGGGAUAAGCCUUGGAAACGGGGUGUAAUACCGAAUAACGGGGGUUGGGCUCGCGGCCUAGCAGCUUGUUGGUGGGGUGAUGGGCUACGAAGGCGGUGACGGGUAGCCGGCCGGAGAGGGAGACCGGCCACAUUGCGCCUGAGAUACGGCCCAGGCACCUACGGGUGGGAGAAGUGGGAGAUAUGGCGCAAUGCGCGAAAGCCCGUGGCGGCGACGCCGCGUAGGGGAUGAAGGCGUUCGGGUUGUAAACCUCUUUCGCAAUCGAACGGUUAGGUGGAGAAGAAGCGCCGGCUAACUACGUGCCAGCAGCCGCGGUAAUUC